UACAGAGGUCUCAAGCGUUGUUCGGAUUCAUUGGGCGUAAAGGGUGCGUAGGCGGCGUCGUAAGUCGGGUGUGAAAUCUCGGGGCUUAACUCCGAAACUGCAUUCGAUACUGCGGUGCUUGAGGACUGGAGAGGAGACUGGAAUUCAUGGUGUAGCAGUGAAAUGCGUAGAGAUCAUGAGGAAGACCAGUGGCGAAGGCGGGUCUCUGGACAGUUCCUGACACUGAGGCACGAAGGUCAGGGGAGCAAACGGG
rnacentral:rRNA from 1 species